rnacentral:rRNA from 1 species
GACGAACGCUGGCGGCGUGCUUAACACAUGCAAGUCGAACGGAAAGGCCCUGCUUUUGUGGGGUGCUCGAGUGGCGAACGGGUGAGUAACACGUGAGUAACCUGCCCUUGACUUUGGGAUAACUUCAGGAAACUGGGGCUAAUACCGGAUAGGAGCUCCUGCUGCAUGGUGGGGGUUGGAAAGUUUCGGCGGUUGGGGAUGGACUCGCGGCUUAUCAGCUUGUUGGUGGGGUAGUGGCUUACCAAGGCUUUGACGGGUAGCCGGCCUGAGAGGGUGACCGGCCACAUUGGGACUGAGAUACGGCCCAGACUCCUACGGGAGGCAGCAGUGGGGAAUAUUGCACAAUGGGCGGAAGCCUGAUGCAGCAACGCCGCGUGCGGGAUGGCGGCCUUCGGGUUGUAAACCGCUUUCGCCUGUGACGAAGCGUGAGUGACGGUAAUGGGUAAAGAAGCACCGGCUAACUACGU